rfam:Eubacterium cylindroides T2-87 draft genome.
CUGUCAAGACAGGGGCGCCAAUUUUGGCUGAGAUGUUAUGAUAACGGUCCCUCAUGACCUGAACUAGGUAAUGCUAGCGUAGGGAGUCUAUAAAAGUAUUUG